UACGUAGGGUGCGAGCGUUGUCCGGAAUUAUUGGGCGUAAAGAGCUCGUAGGCGGUCCGUUACGUCUGCCGUGAAAACCCGGGGCUCAACCCCGUGCCUGCGGUGGAUACGGGCGGACUAGAGUCCGGCAGGGGAGACUGGAAUUCCUGGUGUAGCGGUGGAAUGCGCAGAUAUCAGGAGGAACACCGGUGGCGAAGGCGGGUCUCUGGGACGGAACUGACGCUGAGGAGCCAAAGCGUGGGGAGCGAACAGG
rnacentral:rRNA from 1 species